rnacentral:lncRNA from 1 species
GAAGCAGAUGGAAGUACUCAACGACCGUUGUAACUGCCCAGCUGUUGAAACUCUUUUGUACCGAAGGACCCUGCAGCAAAGUCCAAUUGUUACACAGUCAUGACCACUUAGAAAAAAGUAUAAUAAAGAUAGAAAACUAAGAAAAAUUCCAUGAUAUACCAGAGCAUAAGGAAGAUUCAACCACCAAGGAUCAAUAUCAUUCUUUGAUCGAUUGCCACUGACUUUGUUAGCCACUGAUUCCUUUUCAGCUUCUUGGAAUAAUACUUACUUUCUGGUGCAAGGACAAAUGCCGACUUAUUUCCAACUCCAACACCAACCAUUCUGCAUCACUGUUGAAAAAAAGUAUUAUAGGUUGAUCAAAUACUACUAUGUAGUAGUGUAAUUUCAUAUUAAGUGCUUUUUGUCACCUAUAAUUUGUUAAGCUUUUGUUUAGAUUCAGUUGGCAAAAGCUUUAUUGUAUCGCACACAAAAUUUUGAAGAAAG